rnacentral:rRNA from 1 species
GUCGUACGCUUCUUUUUCCACCGGAGCUUGCUCCACCGGAAAAAGAAGAGUGGCGAACGGGUGAGUAACACGUGGGUAACCUGCCCAUCAGAAGGGGAUAACACUUGGAAACAGGUGCUAAUACCGUAUAACAAUCGAAACCGCAUGGUUUUGAUUUGAAAGGCGCUUUCGGGUGUCGCUGAUGGAUGGACCCGCGGUGCAUUAGCUAGUUGGUGAGGUAACGGCUCACCAAGGCCACGAUGCAUAGCCGACCUGAGAGGGUGAUCGGCCACAUUGGGACUGAGACACGGCCCAAACUCCUACGGGAGGCAGCAGUAGGGAAUCUUCGGCAAUGGACGAAAGUCUGACCGAGCAACGCCGCGUGAGUGAAGAAGGUUUUCGGAUCGUAAAACUCUGUUGUUAGAGAAGAACAAGGAUGAGAGUAACUGUUCAUCCCUUGACGGUAUCUAACCAGAAAGCCACGGCUAACUACGUGCCAGCAGCCGCGGUAAUACGUAGGUGGCAAGCGUUGUCCGGAUUUAUUGGGCGUAAAGCGAGCGCAGGCGGUUUCUUAAGUCUGAUGUGAAAGCCCCCGGCUCAACCGGGGAGGGUCAAUUGGAAACUGGGAGACUUGAGUGCAGAAGAGGAGAGUGGAAUUCCAUGUGUAGCGGUGAAAUGCGUAGAUAUAUGGAGGAACACCAGUGGCGAAGGCGGCUCUCUGGUCUGUAACUGACGCUGAGGCUCGAAAGCGUGGGGAGCAAACAGGAUUAGAUACCCUGGUAGUCCACGCCGUAAACGAUGAGUGCUAAGUGUUGGAGGGUUUCCGCCCUUCAGUGCUGCAGCUAACGCAUUAAGCACUCCGCCUGGGGAGUACGACCGCAAGGUUGAAACUCAAAGGAAUUGACGGGGGCCCGCACAAGCGGUGGAGCAUGUGGUUUAAUUCGAAGCAACGCGAAGAACCUUACCAGGUCUUGACAUCCUUUGACCACUCUAGAGAUAGAGCUUCCCCUUCGGGGGCAAAGUGACAGGUGGUGCAUGGUUGUCGUCAGCUCGUGUCGUGAGAUGUUGGGUUAAGUCCCGCAACGAGCGCAACCCUUAUUGUUAGUUGCCAUCAUUCAGUUGGGCACUCUAGCAAGACUGCCGGUGACAAACCGGAGGAAGGUGGGGAUGACGUCAAAUCAUCAUGCCCCUUAUGACCUGGGCUACACACGUGCUACAAUGGGAAGUACAACGAGUCGCGAAGUCGCGAGGCUAAGCUAAUCUCUUAAAGCUUCUCUCAGUUCGGAUUGUAGGCUGCAACUCGCCUACAUGAAGCCGGAAUCGCUAGUAAUCGCGGAUCAGCACGCCGCGGUGAAUACGUUCCCGGGCCUUGUACACACCGCCCGUCACACCACGAGAGUUUGUAACACCCGAAGUCGGUGAGGUAACCUUUUGGAGCCAGCCGCCUAAGGUGGGAUAGAUGAUUGGGG